GGGUGUAGCUCAGUGGUAGAGUGUGCGCCUAGCAUGCGCAAGGUCCUGGGUUCGAUCCCCAGUACUUCCA
rnacentral:tRNA from 1 species